GGAAGUAAAGUCGUAACAAGGUCUCCGUUGGUGAACCAGCGGAGGGAUCAUUACCGAGUUUACAACUCCCAAACCCAAUGUGAACCAUACCAAACUGUUGCCUCGGCGGGGUCACGCCCCGGGUGCGUCGCAGCCCCGGAACCAGGCGCCCGCCGGAGGGACCAUCCAAACUCUUUCUGUAGUCCCCUCGCGGACGUUAUUUUUACAGCUCUGAGCAAAAAUUCAAAAUGAAUCAAAACUUUCAACAACGGAUCUCUUGGUUCUG
rnacentral:misc_RNA from 1 species